AUGUCAUGGGCAGCCACGGGAAGCGAUGAGCUUGAGGAUCCACGGCCAGCCAUGGAUUGGUCCUGGAAAAGGGUGCCAUCGCCACCGCCAUUUGCCAUGGAUGAUAUAAUUUCCUCUUACGUGCUGCACCCGGACGGGCACACCAUAUUCAUGUCUGCACACGACAGUCUUUAUCAACAUGUUCCAAAGGGUACCUUUUCAUUUGACACCAAGCGUUCUGAGUGGAGGUGGCAUGGGGAAUGGGCUCUGCCUUUCCAAGGGCAAGGCUACUACGACAGCGAGCUAGGCGCAUGGAUUGGGCUCCGUAAAGACGGGUACAUUUGUGCCUGUGAAGUCGCCUCCCGCAGCCGCGAAAGUGCUGUGCAGCCAUAUUGUAAGAUUGCGAAGGAGAAGUUGUUCCUCAAAGUCCCGGAGCGGCGGCUGGCAGCAACAAGGGCCAAUCUCGCGUACAUGGGCAACAGCAACUUUUGCCUUGUCGAGUGUGUGCAGCGCGAGGGAGUGGAGCCUACAUGCAUCGUCGAUUGUUGCGUGCUCCAUAUGAGCACGUUUGGGCUUAAGUAUGAUCACAGGGGAGAGCUGCAAACCACGCGCCACUGCUCUACCUCUUGUGUAGUGUCUAAGCAUAUCCUGUCCUUUUCUCCUGUAGUGUUCUGGAUGUAA
rnacentral:rRNA from 1 species